rnacentral:rRNA from 1 species
UACGUAGGUGGCAAGCGUUGUCCGGAAUUAUUGGGCGUAAAGCGCGCGCAGGCGGUUUCUUAAGUCUGAUGUGAAAGCCCCCGGCUCAACCGGGGAGGGUCAUUGGAAACUGGGGAACUUGAGUGCAGAAGAGGAAAGUGGAAUUCCAAGUGUAGCGGUGAAAUGCGUAGAUAUCUGGAGGAACACCGGUGGCGAAGGCGGCAUCCUGGACCGAUAUUGACGCUGAUGCGCGAAAGCCAGGGGAGCAAACGGG